rnacentral:rRNA from 1 species
UACGUAGGGUGCGAGCGUUAAUCGGAAUUACUGGGCGUAAAGCGUGCGCAGGCGGUUUUGUAAGCCAGAUGUGAAAUCCCCGGGCUCAACCUGGGAAUGGCAUUUGGGACUGCAAGGCUGGAGUUUGGCAGAGGAGACUGGAAUUCCUGGUGUAGCAGUGAAAUGCGUAGAUAUCAGGAGGAAUACCGAUGGCGAAGGCUGGUCUCUGGGCUAUAACUGACGCUCAUGCACGAAAGCGUGGGGAGCAAACAGG